CUUUGUUAUUGUUUAUUAUGGCGUUGUCGUCGUCUGAUGACUGGGCCAAAACAUCAUGCUGUCUGAGCAAUUUGUCUGUGUGCUGUCGUAGUCGAUUUCUUGUGUCUUAGUACUUCAAGCAAUUUGAGCAGUUUUGAAACAAAAUUGGCUUUAUUAACUGAUAAGUGUCUGCUAUAAACUGUUAAAUUCUGAAAUGUUGGACAGUAAUAGACUUGUAUUGGUAAUAUUGCUGCCUCUUAAAUUUAUAGACGCUUGAGUUCUUGAGAUGUCUGGCAGUCACGCUGCAGGUUUUUUGCACCAACUGGAAGUGCGAUGUUUAUUGGUUCCAGCUAUUAAAAGGACUUCUCUCAUGUUCUAGGCACCAAUGAUGCCAAAGUACAGUGUACUAGCAGCUGAUUUAAAGACGAUUAUAUGCGACACGAUCUGCAUGUACAUAUCUGUAGCCAAAUGCAAUAACUAGACAACCUUGACUGACAGUGCAUAAAUAAACUACCUCAGAACUAUACUACAUACUUGAAAUCAUUGCCAUAAGACUUCAGAUUUAAUCCCUAAUCACCACUCAUUGGCAUUCAAAAUACAGAAGCUUGUGUGUGUCCAGUGUUGGUUUUAAACGUCAUACAUUUGGUAUCGUUUAGAAGGAUGAUCCAACAAUGUUGACAAACUGAUAGGACAUCUUGUUACUAAAGCAAGCAGUUGAUCAACCUCAUAUUCGAUGUAAUGUAAUUUUGCAUGAUACUGCUAUUGACUGAAAGGGAACUUUUGAAGAUGGUGUGCUGGGUUGUAUACCCUUAUUCUUUCAUCAUAAGAUGAUUCAGUUGAUGACAUGAACAUCUGCAGACUGAAAGACAUCUUUAAUUCUAACACCAGUGGGACAUUUUAAUGAAAAGGCUCAAAAUGGUCAAUAUGUUUAUGCAUUCCCCUCAAUUUGAAGACUUCUUUUAUCGUUUGAGGGUGUUUGUCUUUGAAAAACAUGGUAUAAGAUAUAAUACAUAGCAUAUUGAUUAAAUAUAAUAUUUUUA